UGGCCAAUCUGCUCCACGCGUUCCGCAUCCAAUCCUACCCUCGCCUCGUCCCACUCCCACUUCAGCCGCCAGACAAACCCUAGCUCCCUUUCCUAUCCACACAACCUCUUCCUCCCCGCAUCACCACAGCUGCCGCUGUGGAGCCUCGCGGACGCCUGCUAUUACUCCUCCCUCGUCUCUGUCUGGUCGCCCUCUCGUGCUCCACCAUGCAGCCGCCUCUUCCUCCUCUAUUCCCUCCUACCGUGGUUCCGGAUCGGGUGCAGGCCGUCAUACUGGAGAGCAUGAGCGUCAAGGUCUUAAUGGUGGGGUGGAGAUGCAGGGGAGGUAGGGAUGUCGGAUGGAUCUGACGCCUGCUGGCUAAAGCAGCAGGAGUUGGCAGAGCGACGGAUGCGGACGCGGUCAUCAACAGGGGUUGCAAGAGAAGGAGCUCAAGUUGGUUCACGGUGUGCAGGAGGAGUUGAAGGCUGAGGUUGUUUGACGGCCGGACCAGCAAGAGCAAGGAGCCAACGGUGGUCAAUUUCUUGCAUCCCAUCCUGGACUCUAAAGGCUAUAGUUUGACCUUUUGCUUUAAUGAAUGGUUUGGGAUGGAAUUGUUGGAUAUCCAAAUGUUUGUGAAUUAUCCUUGAUUAAUUGCUUGCUAAAACAAAGAAUGCAUCCAGCAGCACCUCGACCAGGUGUCACAAGAGAACUGAACAGGAUAUCCCUGACGAUCACAGGGAACGCUCCAAACAAAAGAAAAUAAUUGUAUCAGGUAAGCGCAAUAAUUUGUUGAUCUCUGCAAGUAAAGAGAAAGGAAUCAUGUUUCUUACUUUGGUGUGUGUUACAUGAAACAUCAGUUCCUAAGUAAACAAAUUAUUUGCUUGCCAUUGAAAACAAAAAUUUGAGCAAAUAUAUAUUUUAUUGUUCAUGAUAUUUCUUGUUUUUCUGUAUCGAAGUUCACGCUCACUCAAUAUAUAUGAUGUUGUGAUCGUGUCUGAUUUGUGCAUACUUAUUUUUUUUUCUUCAAUUCUGCCUUAUUGAUGAAGAAUGCAUCAUCAUAGUAGUUUUUAUUUAAAAUCUGUAUGGCGUUGGUGCAUCUGCAUUCCUAGAAUGAUCUUUUCUUUAGAUUGUGUAUGAAGUUUUUAGAUAAUGCACCAUGUCUGACUUCAUAAAAAAGCCAUCAAUGGCAAGAUCAAGUCACACUGAAGUUAAGUUAAAAGGUUACAGAACAAAGCGGUUUGAUAUGGAAUACAAACUAUUUUCAUUUUCAUUAACAUGAAGUCUGCCAUUAACGUACUUUGUUCUUAACAUUAUUUUACCAGAUGCAGGGGAAUGUCACCAAUAUUUUUUCUGAAGUGCUAUCACCACUGAUAAUUAUCUUUACCGUUUGUCCUUUGAAUUGCAGCCUGCAAAGCGUAAAUGCUGGACUAUUGUUUCUCCCCUGAUGCACAUGUUUCUCCACAGACAAUAUCAUGUGUGUGUGUGUGUGAUCUCUGGAAUUAGUUUUUAGGUUAUUCUUUGUGUUGAGUACUUCUGUAAUUUCCAUGGGCGAGUUUCAUAUUUUCUGUGCAUUGUCUAUCAUUCUUUUAAGUGUUUAAUGUUUCUUGUAGUUUUUGAUAUUUCGUUUCAGUCAUGUUUCAUUUGUCGCAGACCUACACCUAUUAGGAAAAGCAUAGUUUCAUUUUGAUCAUGUUUCUUUUAGUUGUUCAGUGUUUGUUCAUUAAUGUAGCAGAGUAAGCAGUACAUUUUGUCCAUUAGUUAAAUCACUCAUGUCACAUUCAGUUGAUUAGGUUCAGUUUUUGUUCCUUCUUCGUUCCUUCAAUUUUUUGUCCCUUUAUUUAGUCAUCGUGCUUGCACCAUUUGUCGGUAUUUAAGUCAAUAUAACUAUUUAGUCCAUCUCAAUGGACCCUUAUAAUUCUUGAUAGUUUCUCUCUUCAAUAGAUCAGACUUUUCUGCUUUUUCAGUUAGGCUAAUUUAUGAUUUCUAUUUCAGUUUUUAGUCUUCACUUGAUUUAGUUGGACAGUGUGUUCAGUAUUUCAAUAGUUCAGUUGUUUCAUUGAUUGACAUGUGCAUUCUCGUACUUAGUGAAGCAUCUUAAUGCAUUUUCGUACUCUGUGAAGCAUCUUAAUUUGAUUGAUAUGUGCAUUCAGUUGAGAACUCAAGAAGUAGAACAACUGUGUUUCACUUCUUCAGAUGGUAAUUUUUAUCGGUUAUAGACUUAUAGUUACAAUUACUAGAAGUAGCAAAGGUCUGGGUUUGUUUAGACCUUGAGUUGGUAGCUAUGCUUUUUUGUUUCAGAUCAUAUGUUGGUACUUCAUUUUACUCAGAUUAUAUGAAGGUGAGUGUAAUUGUGUGAUCUGGAUUAGGGCGCAAUGAAAUUCAGAAGUAGUAGAAGUACACUGUUUUUUACUUUCUUUCAGAAUGAUUACUACAGAAGUACACCGCUGCAUGGUAAAUUAUUGCCAUGGCCUCAAUGGUAGGUUGUACCUGAUAGUUAUAUAUCCUACGAGUACCGGAUGGUUAACAUCCUCACACCUGACAGGUAUAGAUUCCACAUAGUAGCCUAGCAGUGCAUGGAAAAACUAGGUUCAGUCCGAAGUCUGAACUCCUGAAGAAGCAAAAGCCAAAAAAUAGAGAUCAGACGACUAAAUAUGAGAGUGCAUCUUCUCCUUUUUUUGUCUUUUUUGUUGAGUGUGCAUCUUCCAACCUGGCUGUAGCCUGUAGGCUAUAAUCAACUCAAUUUUGUUUUCUCCAUGUGAUAGCCAGGACGACCACUUUUACAUUCAUCUUUUUUGUUUGUGAAUUCAGUUUCUAUUAUUGCAACUGCACGCUCCAGUCAUGCUGAAUACAUGGGUACAUUUAGUAGAAGGACAUACAGAUUUAAGUUAUGCUCCUCAUUCAACUUUUGUCACACUUGUUCAGUAAUCAGUACAACUCAUUCUGCUUCAGGAUGGAAGCUUCGAAUGGCUAGCAGAACCGAGGCCGCAGGGACACCGUCGCAUUGAGGUAGUGCCAUGGCCGUAGGUGCUGAUGUCGCAUGGGCAGAACCGCGGCCGCGGGAUCUCUGCUGUGUAGUGCCACAGGCUUUGACUCGGUGUUGCGUGAUGGAAGAGCAGUGGUAAAGUUCGACAGCAUUGAAGCGAGAUGUGAGAUCCCAGCGCUCCAAAUGAUGGGUCGUGGCCGUUGGAGGGCCAACAGAGGACAAGGGCUAACAACCGGUGGUGGAGGGAGAGUCUGAGAAAUCAUGAGCUUUUUCCUUAUGAAAAGUGAUAAAGUUACAACAUAGUUUUCUCAAAGGUGUGCAUCAGUGCAGAUUGAGCAAGGCACAAUCUGAGAAGAAAAACAAAAAAUUAGAAACAGUGCAUCAUGUGUAUGUUUGUGAGCGGUGCCGUUGGGGGCCUGGUUGUGGCGCAGCCCUUCGGCGUGGUGCCCUCUUGCGUUGCCGCUAUGGUCGCCUCACGUUGGACGGGAGGAGAUAAGUCAAUCCCCAAUUAAGAUGCACAAUUAAGAUCCCCAAUUAAAUUGGUCACAUCAUUAUGGAAGGGGAAUGAUUGGAUAACAAACUUUAUAGAUUUAGUAUCAUAUCAUUCAUUUGUGACA